GGCUGGCAUAACCGGAUGUGAGAAGAUAGUUGAGAAUCUUCUGUUUGCAAUUAAGAACCCUGCACAGCUAGAUGUUUCACUGUCAGUCCUGAAUCCCGUGACCACACUGCCGGGUCAUAAGGCGGUGGUGAACUGCACGCUGUGGCUUCCAACCAAGAAGGGUGCAUUCAAGGGAGACACACUAUCUAUUGUCCGGAAGUUCUGAUGGUGCUAUUAUGACGUGGAAGAUUGGUUCUGGAAUAGGCAAGUGGUUGCUAGGAAAAAGUUUGCCUGUUUAUCUUAAUCAAGUCGGCGGGCAUGGCGCUGCUGCAUCAUACUUGCAUGGCCCGAUGGCGCCCGUCAUCGUCCAUGAGCAGGACAAACAGCUGGCAAUGGAGCCGCUCUGGGCUCCAAGACGAGCCGCUCUGGGCGCUCCGCCGUGCCGCCGGUUCCUCCGGCAAUAUCAUGAACACCAAGGAAUACGCGCAAAUGAUCAGCUGGCCCAUCAACUCCAGCAAGAAGCAAUAGGCUGACGUCGCCUACGCGGCGAUGACUGAAGGGACGCACAACAGUGCCGUCGUCAUCAUGAACAUCAUCACGUUGGUCGACGCCUUCUUUGAUGCGAACAACUAGAUGGAGCUGUUCCCUUCUAAUGUGUGCAAGGCAAUGGCCAUUCAGGUCAUACACCAUGGCGCUGCUUCUGGCGAACUCGGCAGUUGAUCUCUCAUAUUGGUAAUCACUGUUUGAUGCUUCAGGUUUCAUCCUCCUGCCCUAUUCCACUUGAUUUUUCCAAUAUGGUAAAUAUCAGCAGAAAAGAAAUUCACUGCUAAAGUUAACAAUAUAUAUGUGUAGAAAUACAUCAAUAGAAUAGAUGUCCAUGUAAAUUAAGAAUUUAGGAUUAGCUACAUCUUCAGACUGGAGCUGAGUUACAACUUCACUUGGUGGAUCACUGGAGCUUAGGAUACUAUGAAUAGUGACUUGUUGUGUUCAAUCUGCAACAAUAGGCUAAACAAAAUGUAGUGUAUUAUGUCCAGAAUGUUUAAAAUGGAACGGUUAAGUUUAUAAGAUUGUGUGUAUCUAAAAAGAAGGUUUGGAGUUCAAACAGUUCUCAUAAAUUUAUGCAAAUGAUAUCCACUUCAGAAAUGUCAUUCCUAUGUUGGUAACAAACAUCGUGUCUUGCUUUUAAAAAGGGCAACCUGGUGCAUGUAGCUCCCGCUUGCGCAGGGUUCAGGGAAGGGUCCGACCACUUUGGGUCUAUAGUACGCAGCCUUUCCUUACAUUUCUGUAAGAGGCUGUUUCCAGGACUUGAACCCAUGACCUCAUGGUCACAAGGCAGCAUCGUGUCUUGCUUUUACAGGGGAUAUAUUGAAGCAGUAAGAGAACUUGACCAGAAAAUUCAGUUAUCUGGUGAUGUUCAGUUUGACGACAUUGUUGUUGCCUGCGGCGGAUAUGUCCCAACAGUUCUACAUGGCUAUGAUGAGUGCACUGGAAUGCAUACAAGCUGGCAAGGUUUUUUUUUUGUUUUUUGCCUUUGAUGCUCAGUACAGACAUAUUUGAUACUUAUCAUAUUGAAAAUCCACCCUUAUGGUUUUCUACCCUCCUGCUUCAUGUUCUGGU